AGAGUUUGAUCAUGGCUCAGAUUGAACGCUGGCGGCAGGCCUAACACAUGCAAGUCGAGCGGUAGCACAGAGAGCUUGCUCUCGGGUGACGAGCGGCGGACGGGUGAGUAAUGUCUGGGAAACUGCCUGAUGGAGGGGGAUAACUACUGGAAACGGUAGCUAAUACCGCAUAAUGUCGCAAGACCAAAGUGGGGGACCUUCGGGCCUCAUGCCAUCAGAUGUGCCCAGAUGGGAUUAGCUAGUAGGUGGGGUAACGGCUCACCUAGGCGACGAUCCCUAGCUGGUCUGAGAGGAUGACCAGCCACACUGGAACUGAGACACGGUCCAGACUCCUACGGGAGGCAGCAGUGGGGAAUAUUGCACAAUGGGCGCAAGCCUGAUGCAGCCAUGCCGCGUGUGUGAAGAAGGCCUUCGGGUUGUAAAGCACUUUCAGCGGGGAGGAAGGCGUUAAGGUUAAUAACCUUGGCGAUUGACGUUACCCGCAGAAGAAGCACCGGCUAACUCCGUGCCAGCAGCCGCGGUAAUACGGAGGGUGCAAGCGUUAAUCGGAAUUACUGGGCGUAAAGCGCACGCAGGCGGUCUGUCAAGUCGGAUGUGAAAUCCCCGGGCUCAACCUGGGAACUGCAUUCGAAACUGGCAGGCUAGAGUCUUGUAGAGGGGGGUAGAAUUCCAGGUGUAGCGGUGAAAUGCGUAGAGAUCUGGAGGAAUACCGGUGGCGAAGGCGGCCCCCUGGACAAAGACUGACGCUCAGGUGCGAAAGCGUGGGGAGCAAACAGGAUUAGAUACCCUGGUAGUCCACGCCGUAAACGAUGUCGAUUUGGAGGUUGUGCCCUUGAGGCGUGGCUUCCGGAGCUAACGCGUUAAAUCGACCGCCUGGGGAGUACGGCCGCAAGGUUAAAACUCAAAUGAAUUGACGGGGGCCCGCACAAGCGGUGGAGCAUGUGGUUUAAUUCGAUGCAACGCGAAGAACCUUACCUGGUCUUGACAUCCACAGAACUUUCCAGAGAUGGAUUGGUGCCUUCGGGAACUGUGAGACAGGUGCUGCAUGGCUGUCGUCAGCUCGUGUUGUGAAAUGUUGGGUUAAGUCCCGCAACGAGCGCAACCCUUAUCCUUUGUUGCCAGCGGUCCGGCCGGGAACUCAAAGGAGACUGCCAGUGAUAAACUGGAGGAAGGUGGGGAUGACGUCAAGUCAUCAUGGCCCUUACGACCAGGGCUACACACG
rnacentral:rRNA from 1 species